GAUAAACGCUGGCGGCGUGCAUGAGACAUGCAAGUCGAACGAACGAGCUUGCUCGUUAGUGGCGGACGGCUGAGUAACGCGUAGGUGACCUGCCCCGAAGUGGGGGAUAACUGCCCGAAAGGGUGGCUAAUACCGCAUGUGGCGACACUUUCAUUGGUGUCAUCAAAGCCGCGAGGCGCUUCGGGAGGGGCAUGCGUCCGAUUAGCUCGUUGGUGGGGUAAUGGCUCACCAAGGCGACGAUCGGUAGGUGGUCUGAGAGGACGAUCACCCAGACUGGGACUGGGACACGGCCCAGACUCCUACGGGAGGCAGCAGUCGGGAAUUUUGCUCAAUGGGCGCAAGCCUGAAGCAGCAACGCCGCGUGCGGGAUGAAGGCCUUCGGGUUGUAAACCGCUUUUGUCAGGGACGAUGAUGACGGUACCUGACGAAUAAGUCACGGCUAACUACGUGCCAGCAGCCGCCGUAAGAC
rnacentral:rRNA from 1 species